GACGAACGCUGGCGGCGUGCUUAACACAUGCAAGUCGAACGGAAAGGCCCUGCUUUUGUGGGGUGCUCGAGUGGCGAACGGGUGAGUAACACGUGAGUAACCUGCCCUUUACUUUGGGAUAACUUCAGGAAACUGGGGCUAAUACCGGAUAGGAGCUCCUGCUGCAUGGUGGGGGUUGGAAAGUUUCGGCGGUUGGGGAUGGACUCGCGGCUUAUCAGCUUGUUGGUGGGGUAGUGGAUUACCAAGGCUUUGACGGGUAGCCGGCCUGAGAGGGUGACCGGCCACAUUGGGACUGAGAUACGGCCCAGACUCCUACGGGAGGAAGCAGUGGGGAAUAUUGCACAAUGGGCGGAAGCCUGAUGCAGCAACGCCGCGUGCGGGAUGACGGCCUUCGGGUUGUAAACCGCUUUCGCCUGUGACGAAGCGUGAGUGACGGUAAUGGGUAAAGAAGCACCGGCUAACUACGUG
rnacentral:rRNA from 1 species